rnacentral:rRNA from 1 species
AGUGAGCGCUGGCGGUAGGCCUAACACAUGCAAGUCGAACGGCAGCACAGGAGAGCUUGCUCUCUGGGUGGCGAGUGGCGGACGGGUGAGGAAUACAUCGGAAUCUACUCUGUCGUGGGGGAUAACGUAGGGAAACUUACGCUAAUACCGCAUACGACCUACGGGUGAAAGCAGGGGACCUUCGGGCCUUGCGCGAUUGAAUGAGCCGAUGUCGGAUUAGCUAGUUGGCGGGGUAAAGGCCCACCAAGGCGACGAUCCGUAGCUGGUCUGAGAGGAUGAUCAGCCACACUGGAACUGAGACACGGUCCAGACUCCUACGGGAGGCAGCAGUGGGGAAUAUCGGACAAUGGGCGCAAGCCUGAUUCAGCCAUACCGCGUGGGUGAAGAAGGCCUUCGGGUUGUAAAGCCCUUUUGUUGGGAAAGAAAUCCAGCUGGCUAAUACCCGGUUGGGAUGACGGUACCCAAAGAAUAAGCACCGGCUAACUUCGUGCCAGCCGCCGCAGUAA